rnacentral:rRNA from 1 species
CGGACCAAGGAGUUUAUCGUAUGUGCGAGUCAUUGAGUGAUUAAAACUCAUUGGCAUAAUGGAAGUAAAGUUAUCAUCAGAUAAUGAUAUGUGAUAGAUAAUCUACGGAAAAUCUAGCAACAUAGUCCAAUCUAAUAUGCUUGCAUAUGGGUUGAGAUAGAGCAUAUGCGAUGAGACCCGAAAGAUGGUGAACUAUGCCUGAACAGGAUGAAGUCAGAGGAAACUCUGAUGGAAGUCCGAAGCGGUUCUGACGUGCAAAUCGAUCGUCUGAUUUGGGUAUAGGGGCGAAAGACUAAUCGAACCAUCUAGUAGCUGGUUCCUUCCG